UUAUGUUCUGUUGCUUUGUCUGUAUUUAACCUUGGCUGUGUCAUGUGACCAGCCAUUUCAAUCGUCACUGGUUGUCAUGCCAACAGAGCAUCUAAGGGAGUCCGUGCUCAACAGAAAGAUGGGAUGUUUGCACUUCACAGACAGGCAGUUUGUCGGAGCAUUGCAAUGUUUGACUUUGUCGAGAAGUUGCAAGGAUGUCCACUCCUGCAGAGAUUGGAAGCUGUCUUCAUUUCUACUUGUCAAUAAAACAAUAUCCCUCCAAAUCCCCAGAAAAAGCUCCCUCUACCUUCUCUGCAGGACCUGCCAUCCCACAGGCAACAUGUGAUUUUGAUUUUAUCGUCUGCAUCUGUGUGAUCUGGAUGGUUUUCUUCAGGGUUAUUUCUUAAAAGGUUCCACUAUGUAUGUUGUAUUAGCACACAACACUUUUCAUCCUUGACUCACGCAGGAUCUUCAGUGACAGAGAUAACAUCAUGUACCAACUCCUACUCGAGUCAAUUUGAAGAAGUCAGAAGACUGAUUAUGUUCCAUUGGUUCAUCUUGUGCAGAGUGUGUUGAGGACUGUUACGUGCAGCAGCUCGUUACGUGCAGCAACCUUCUUUCACUUUCAGCUCCCCAUCACAGAGACAGUCUAAUUUUAACCAGUUUGUUCACUUUCACUGAUGAACUGCUUUUGAUGCUGCUGCCACAACACACAGCACACAAAACAGUGUGUCACUGUUAGUUAAGCCAGAAGUAAAAUCGUUCUUGUAAACAACCGCAGUGUUGUAUUUAAGUCCAGUCGUUAGUAGUGAACUCUGUGGUAUAUUUUGUCUUGCAUCACCUCCAUCUUUUUUCCCAGAAUAAAAAAACUCUGUCCAUCUUUUUCUUGGCCUUUCUAAAAUCCACACCAGCUCUUUUGACUUGUUCAGAAUAAAGAUGAGAUGAUUGUCCCCACAUCAUGUCACAGAGGUGGAUCACUAGUAUUUCUGUGGAUGACAGGACAUACAGACUGAGGAGGAACAGUAAGGUUCCCCGAGGAGUCUUCCUCUGCAUUUGACCACUGGUGGAGACUCACAAGCCUUUAGACUCUCAAACUAUGGUCUGUCUGUAAGAUAGUCAAUUAUUUAGCCGGCUCGGGAGGCCUCCUGGAGAAUCUUAUGGAGAUUUUCUUACAUAAUUGUGCAAAAUGCAGCCUGAAUUGUCCUAAAUGUACCGAAGAAAUAAAAAAAAGUGGUCCUCAGAAUAAUGUCUGUUUUGUCGAGACAAGAUUAGCCUCUCUGAAGAAAACAGAAAAGCUAAAAAUUUGCAAAGAAGACCCCUGAAGUCUUUAAUGUUCCAUAUUAAUUUUAGCGUCACUGUUGUAAAUGAUUAAAUUUAAACUUCCACAUACUAGGAAGUCUCCACUUCAUGUGGAGUAUUAACUCAUACAAAACUUCAGG